UACGUAGGUGACAAGCGUUGUCCGGAUUUACUGGGCGUAAAGCGUGCGCAGGCGGUUCGUUGUGUCGGUGGUGAAAGCCCCGGGCUUAACCUGGGAAUGGCCAUGGAAACUGGCGAACUGGAGUGUGGCAGAGGGGGGUGGAAUUCCGCGGUGUAGCAGUGAAAUGCGUAGAGAUGCGGAGGAACACCGAUGGCGAAGGCAGCCCCCUGGGCUAGCACUGACGCCUCGAGGCACGAAAGCGUGGGGAGCAAACAGG
rnacentral:rRNA from 1 species